rnacentral:rRNA from 1 species
GACGAACGCUGGCGGCGUGCCUAACACAUGCAAGUCGAGCGAAAAGAUCAGGAGUUUGCUCCUUUGACGUUAGCGGCGGACGGGUGAGAAACACGUGGAUAACCCACCUAUAUGACUGGGAUAAUUUCGGGACACCGGCGAUAAUCCCGGAUAAUAUAUUGAACCGCAUGGUUCAUUAGUGAAUGACGGUUUUGCUGUCACUUAUAGCUGGUUCCGCGCUGCAUUAGCUAGUUGGUAAGGUAACGGCUUACCAAGGCAACGAUGCGUAGCCGACCUGAGAGGGUGAUCGGCCACACUGGAACUGAGACACGGUCCAGACUCCUACGGGAGGCAGCAGUAGGGAAUCUUCCGCAAUGGGCGAAAGCCUGACGGAGCAACGCCGCGUGAGUGAUGAAGGUCUUCGGAUCGUAAAACUCUGUUAUUAGGGAAGAACAAAUGUGUAAGUAACUAUGCACGUCUUGACGGUACCUAAUCAGAAAGCCACGGCUAACUACGUG